UCGAGGUGCGGCAUCCUAAUAAUGCAGUCGAGCGGACAGAAGGGAGCUUGCUCCCGGAUGUUAGCGGCGGACGGGUGAGUAACACGUGGGUAACCUGCCUGUAAGACUGGGAUAACUCCGGGAAACCGGAGCUAAUACCGGAUAGUUCCUUGAACCGCAUGGUUCAAGGAUGAAAGACGGUUUCGGCUGUCACUUACAGAUGGACCCGCGGCGCAUUAGCUAGUUGGUGGGGUAAUGGCUCACCAAGGCGACGAUGCGUAGCCGACCUGAGAGGGUGAUCGGCCACACUGGGACUGAGACACGGCCCAGACUCCUACGGGAGGCAGCAGUAGGGAAUCUUCCGCAAUGGACGAAAGUCUGACGGAGCAACGCCGCGUGAGUGAUGAAGGUUUUCGGAUCGUAAAGCUCUGUUGUUAGGGAAGAACAAGUGCGAGAGUAACUGCUCGCACCUUGACGGUACCUAACCAGAAAGCCACGGCUAACUACGUGCCAGCAGCCGCGGUAAUACGUAGGUGGCAAGCGUUGUCCGGAAUUAUUGGGCGUAAAGGGCUCGCAGGCGGUUUCUUAAGUCUGAUGUGAGAGCCCCCGGCUCAACCGGGGAGGGUCAUUGGAAACUGGGAAACUUGAGUGCAGAAGAGGAGAGUGGAAUUCCACGUGUAGCGGUGAAUGCGGUUAAAGAUGUGGAGGAACACCAGUGGCGAAGGCGACUCUCUGGUCUGUAACUGACGCUGAGGAGCGAAAGCGUGGGGAGCGAACAGGAUUAGAUACCCUGGUAGUGCACGCCGUAAACGAUGAGUGCUAAGUGUUAGGGGGUUUCCGCCCCUUAGUGCUGCAGCUAACGCAUUAAGCACUCCGCCCUGGGGAGUACGGUCGCAAGACUGAAACUCAAAGGAAUUGACGGGGGCCCGCACAAGCGGUGGAGCAUGUGGUUUAAUUCGAAGCAACGCGAAGAACCUUACCAGGUCUUGACAUCCUCUGACAACCCUAGAGAUAGGGCUUUCCCUUCGGGGACAGAGUGACAGGUGGUGCAUGGUUGUCGUCAGCUCGUGUCGUGAGAUGUUGGGUUAAGUCCCGCAACGAGCGCAACCCUUGAUCUUAGUUGCCAGCAUUCAGUUGGGCACUCUAAGGUGACUGCCGGUGACAAACCGGAGGAAGGUGGGGAUGACGUCAAAUCAUCAUGCCCCUUAUGACCUGGGCUACACACGUGCUACAAUGGACAGAACAAAGGGCUGCAAGACCGCAAGGUUUAGCCAAUCCCAUAAAUCUGUUCUCAGUUCGGAUCGCAGUCUGCAACUCGACUGCGUGAAGCUGGAAUCGCUAGUAAUCGCGGAUCAGCAUGCCGCGGUGAAUACGUUCCCGGGCCUUGUACACACCGCCCGUCACACCACGAGAGUUUGCAACACCCGAAGUCGGUGAGGUAACCUUUAUGGAGCCAGCCGCCGAAGGUGGGGCAGAUGAUUGGGGUAAGUCUUACAAAGGUGGCCACCUGG
rnacentral:rRNA from 1 species